rnacentral:rRNA from 1 species
UACGGAGGGUGCGAGCGUUGUCCGGAAUCACUGGGCGUAAAGGGCGCGUAGGCGGCCUGGCAAGUCGGUGAUGAAAGCCCGUGGCUCAACUACGGGUCGGCCACCGAUACUGCUAUGGCUCGAGUUUGGUAGAGGCAGAUGGAAUUCCGGGUGUAGCGGUGGAAUGCGUAGAGAUCCGGAAGAACACCGGUGGCGAAGGCGGUCUGCUGGGCCAAGACUGACGCUGAGGCGCGACAGCGUGGGGAGCAAACAGG